rnacentral:rRNA from 1 species
UGGGGAAUAUUGCACAAUGGGCGCAAGCCUGAUGCAGCCAUGCCGCGUGUGUGAAGAAGGCCUUCGGGUUGUAAAGCACUUUCAGCGAGGAGGAAGGUGGUGAGCUUAAUACGCUCAUCAAUUGACGUUACUCGCAGAAGAAGCACCGGCUAACUCCGUGCCAGCAGCCGCGGUAAUACGGAGGGUGCAAGCGUUAAUCGGAAUUACUGGGCGUAAAGCGCACGCAGGCGGUUUGUUAAGUCAGAUGUGAAAUCCCCGGGCUCAACCUGGGAACUGCAUUUGAAACUGGCAAGCUAGAGUCUCGUAGAGGGGGUAGAAUUCCAGGUGUAGCGGUGAAAUGCGUAGAGAUCUGGAGGAAUACCGGUGGCGAAGGCGGCCCCCUGGACGAAGACUGACGCUCAGGUGCGAAAGCGUGGGGCAGCAAACAGGAUUAGAUACCCUGGUAGUCACGCUGUAAACGAUGUCGAUUUUGGAGGUUGUGCCCUUGAGGCGUGGCUUCCGGAGCUAACGCGUUAAAUCGACCGCCUGGGGAGUACGGCC